UACGAAGGGGGCUAGCGUUGCUCGGAAUCACUGGGCGUAAAGCGCACGUAGGCGGACUCUUAAGUCGGUGGUGAAAUCCUGGAGCUCAACUCCAGAACUGCCUUCGAUACUGAGAGUCUUGAGUCCGGGAGAGGUGAGUGGAACUGCGAGUGUAGAGGUGAAAUUCGUAGAUAUUCGCAAGAACACCAGUGGCGAAGGCGGCUUUCUGGGUCUUACCUGACGCUGAGGAACGAAAGCCAGGGGAGCGAACGGG
rnacentral:rRNA from 1 species